GAUGAAGAACACAGCAAAAUGCGAUAAGUAAUGUGAAUUGCAGAAUUCAGUGAAUCAUCGAAUCUUUGAACGCACAUUGCGCCCGCUGGUAUUCCGGCGGGCAUGCCUGUUCGAGCGUCAUUUCAACCCUCAAGCCCCCCGGGUUUGGUGUUGGGGAUCGGCUCUGCCUCACGGCGGUGCCGCCCCCGAAAUACAUUGGCGGUCUCGCUGCAGCCUCCAUUGCGUAGUAGCUAACACCUCGCAACUGGAACGCGGCGCGGCCAUGCCGUAAAACCCCAACUUCUGAAUGUUGACCUCGGAUCAGGUAGGAAUACCCGCUGAACUUAAGCAUAUCAAUAAGCGGAGGA
rnacentral:misc_RNA from 1 species